rnacentral:rRNA from 1 species
AUUGAACGCUGGCGGCAUGCCUUACACAUGCAAGUCGAACGGCAGCACGGGUGCUUGCACCUGGUGGCGAGUGGCGAACGGGUGAGUAAUACAUCGGAACGUACCUUAUCGUGGGGGAUAACGCAGCGAAAGCUGAGCUAAUACCGCAUACGCCCUGAGGGGGAAAGCGGGGGAUCGAAAGACCUCGCGCGAUUAGAGCGGCCGAUGCCUGAUUAGCUUGUUGGUGGGGUAAAAGCCCACCAAGGCGACGAUCAGUAGCUGGUCUGAGAGGACGAUCAGGCACACUGGGACUGAGAAACGGCCCAGGCUCCAACGGGAGGCAGCAGUGGGGAAUUUUGAACAAUGGGGGCAACCCUGAUCCAGCAAUGCCGGGUGAGUGAAGAAGGCCUUCGGGUUGUAAAGCUCUUUUGUCGGGGAAGAACCACCGGCUCUAACACAGUCCGGGAAUGACGGUACCUGAAGAAUAAGCACCGGCUAACUACGUGCCAGCAGCCGCCGUAA